rnacentral:rRNA from 1 species
AGUGGCAGACGGCUGAGUAACGCGUAGGAAUCUUCCCGAAGCUGGGGCAUAGCCACGAGAAAUCGUGGGUAAUUCCCCAUAAUGUCGGUCUUUGAUCGAUUAAAGGGCGUAACUGCUCGGCUACGGAUGAGCCUGCGUCCUAUCAGGUAGUUGGUGGGGUAAUAGCCUACCAAGCCAAUGACGGGUAGCUGGCCUCAUGAGGGUGGUCAGCCAGAGGGGGACUGAGACACGGCCCCCACUCCUACGGGAGGCAGCAAUCAGGAAUAGUCGGCAAUGGGCGAAAGCCUGACCGCGCAAUACCGCGUGUAGGAAGACGCUCGAAAGAGUGUAAACUACUGUGGCGAGGGAAGAAGCCUGGCUUAGCCAGGUUGACGGUACCUCGCUAGAAAGGGGCCGCUAACUUCGUGCCAGAAGCGUCGGUAAUACGAGGGCCUCAAGCGUUAUCCGGUGUUAUUGGGCGUAAAGAGUCGUGUAGGCGGUUUCGUAAGUUAUCUUUUAAAGCUUCCGGCUCAACCGGAAAAAAGGAGGUAAUACUGCGAGACUAGAGUUUCCUCAAGGGAGAAUGGAACUAAAGGAGGAGUAGUGAAAUGCGUUGAUACCUUUAGGAACACCAGUGGCGAAGGCGAUUCUCUGGGAGGAGACUGACGCUGAGACACGAAAGCUAGGGGAGCGAAGCAGAUUAGAGACCUGCGUAGUCCUAGCCGUAAACG